CCUACGGUAGGCAGCAGUGAGGAAUAUUGGUCAAUGGGCGGAAGCCUGAACCAGCCAAGUAGCGUGCAGGAUGACGGCCCUACGGGUUGUAAACUGCUUUUAUACGGGAAUAACGCGCCUUACGUGUAGGGCUUUGCAUGUACCGUAUGAAUAAGGACCGGCUAAUUCCGUGCCAGCAGCCGCGGUAAUACGGAGGGUCCGGGCGUUAUCCGGAUUUAUUGGGCGUAAAGGGAGCGUCGGCCGCAUGUCAAGCGUGCUGUGAAAGGUCCGGGCUCAACCCGGGCCUUGCAGCGCGAACUGGCGGGCUGGAGUCCGCGGAAAGCAGGCGGAAUGCGUCGUGUAGCGGUGAAAUGCUUAGAUAUGACGAAGAACCCCGAUUGCGAAGGCAGCUUGCUGCAGCGGAACUGACGCUGAGGCUCGAAAGCGCGGGGAUCGAACAGGAUUAGAUACCCUUGUAGUC
rnacentral:rRNA from 1 species